AUAGAGACUCAGAGCUGCAUAUCAAUAAGCGGAGGAAAAGAAACUAACUAGGAUUCCCUCAGUAACGGCGAGUGAAGCGGGAAGAGCUCAAAUUUGAAAUCUUCAAGGUUCUACCUUGACGAAUUGUAGUUUAAAGAAGUGUUUUCUGUUGGAGUUUUGGUAAAAGUUCUUUGGAAUAGGACAUCAUAGAGGGUGAGAAUCCCGUAUUUGACCAUUAUUUCCAACUUUGUGAUACACUUUCAAAGAGUCGGAUUGUUUGGGAAUGCAGUCCGAAAUGGGUUGUAAAUUUCAUCUAAAGCUAAAUACUGGCGAGAGACCGAUAGCGAACAAGUACCGUGAGGGAAAGAUGAAAAGAACUUUGAAAAGAGAGUUAAACAGUACGUGAAAUUGUCAAAAGGGAAGCGUUUGACACCAGUGUUGUUUUCUCGAAAAUCAAUUAAAAAUGGUGGGAUGUUGUGUUGUAUUGACUUUAUCAGCUUUCUGCACUUUUUUUCCUAUCUUUUUUAAUGCACUUUUCGUUUAACAAGUCAACAUCAAUUUCUUUUGUUGUAAAAGAGUCAUUGGGAGGUGGCUUUCUUUUCGGAGAAAGUGUUUAUAGCCUUUGGCUUCUGCAAUCGGAGAGAUUGAGGUCUGCAGCGUAGAUCCUUCGGGGUUAGAUGCAUUUGUGCUAAGUUAUAGCCUUUCAUAGACAACUUGUUGACUAUGAUCAGUCAUGUAGCUUACUCGCUUAUGUCAUUUUACCUACGCUUAGGAUGUUGAAGAUAUGCGCGACACG
rnacentral:rRNA from 1 species